UACGUAGGGGGCAAGCGUUGUCCGGAAUUAUUGGGCGUAAAGAGCGCGUAGGCGGUCCGGUAAGUCGGCUGUGAAAGUCAAGGGCUCAACCCUUGAAAGCCGGCCGAUACUGUCGGACUAGAGUCCGGAAGAGGCGAGUGGAAUUCCCGGUGUAGCGGUGAAAUGCGCAGAUAUCGGGAGGAACACCAAUGGCGAAGGCAGCUCUCUGGGACGGUACUGACGCUGAGACGCGAAAGCGUGGGGAGCGAACAGG
rnacentral:rRNA from 1 species